UAGUCUGGGAUACCACUUGGAAACAGGUGCUAAUACCGGAUAAGAAAGCGGAUCGCAUGAUCAGCUUUUAAAAGGCGGCGUAAGCUGUCGCUAUGGGAUGGCCCCGCGGUGCAUUAGCUAGUUGGUAAGGUAAAGGCUUACCAAGGCGAUGAUGCAUAGCCGAGUUGAGAGACUGAUCGGCCACAUUGGGACUGAGACACGGUCCAAACUCCUACGGGAGGCAGCAGUG
rnacentral:rRNA from 1 species